UAGAUGUACACAGGCCCUCAUAGAAGUUUUGACCCCUAGCCCUCCUCUUCCAAUUGACCCCCCCCCCCCUGAUCUUGACCUCAAGGAUGCAUCCUAGAAACAAGGUGCGGAGCUGUACACAGUCCUUCCUACAACUUGUAGAAGAUCCCGCACAGGCUUCACAACCAGUCAUGUGACCCCUAGCCCUCUUCCAACUGAUCGCCCCCUUGAUCUUGACCUCAAGAUGCCACCUGGAAACAAAGUGCGGAGCUGUACACAGUCCUUCCUACAACUUGUAGAAGAUCUCCCAUAGGCUUCACAACCAGUCAUGUGACCCCUAGCCCUCUUCCAACUGAUUGCCCCCUUGAUCUUGACCUCAAGAUGCCACCUGGAAACAAAGUGCGGAGCUGUACACAGUCCUUCCUACAACUUGUAGAAGAUCUCCCAUAGGCUUCACAACCAGUCAUGUGACCCCUAGCCCUCUUUCAACUGAUUGCCCCCUUGAUCUUGACC